GGGGCCUACGGGGGGCAGCAGUGAGGAAUAUUGGUCAAUGGGCGGGAGCCUGAACCAGCCAAGUCGCGUGAGGGAAGACGGUCCUAUGGAUUGUAAACCUCUUUAGGCGGGGAGCAAUGCCGGGCACGCGUGCCCGGAGGGAGAGUACCCGCAGAAUAAGCAUCGGCUAACUCCGUGCCAGCAACCGCGGUAAUACGGAGGAUGCGAGCGUUAUCCGGAUUUACUGGGUGUAAAGGGAGCGUAGGCGGCAAGGUAAGCCAGAAGUGAAAGCCCGCGGCUCAACUGCGGGACUGCUUUUGGAACUU
rnacentral:rRNA from 1 species